rnacentral:misc_RNA from 1 species
GUUAAAUUUUACAUCCACAUAGCCACUGCAAUCUGUGAUCACAACCAAAUGAUAAUGCAGUGACAUGCAAGCACAUCAAGGACCAUGUGAUUUCAGACUUUCAGUGACAUGGCAUGCAAGUGCAACACUUCAAUCUAUAAUCAUGAAUCCUAAAAUGCAAGUCACCGUCAAACCAUAAAGGGCAUUCUUUCAUAUAACAGCACUACAUGAAACUAAUUCUGGAUGCCCCUAAAAAUAUAUCACUGAAUUUAUAUGAUCAUUUCACAAGUUUAGACAUCUUCAGAUGCAUCAUGUCUAUCAACAAACUUCCCUAAAUGAUGGAUCUUCAUAUCAAAUUACCAGAAGCAUCUUAUGUAAGUUCUUUGUAUAAAUGCUACUCAGAAC